UGGCCAGUCCCAAGCCCGUACGGGCAACAGGG
rnacentral:piRNA from 1 species